rnacentral:lncRNA from 1 species
CCUCUGCAUUUUGCAUUCAGUAUUAAAGAAUCCUUCGCUCGACUGCAGGUAAGUUUUAAGUUUUCUUAAGUGGUAAAUGCAAAUGAUAGCUGCUCAGUUUGGGGAAUAAUCAUUCCUGAAAUUUCUCUGUUGUAGUAUUUGGCCAUAGACAUCUCAAGAACUCCAGUUCUUCAACAAGCUUCACUGUCUAGCUCAUUGGGUAGUUCAAAUAUACCUCUCCUUGCCCGUGUAUAUCUUAAACUAGGAACUUGGCAAUGAGCACUUUCUCUGGGUUUGGAUGAUGAUUCUAUUCAAGGUAAUUGAUUGAAUUCCACACACCCUCCUUAAAAAAAAAAAAAAGAAGAAGAAAGUGAAGAAAAGAUAAUAUAGAAGAUUUGGUAGCUACUGGAGCGAGUAAAUUUGACAUAUUGAUAGCUUUCUGGUGAUUAGUUUCCUAUGAUUUCAGAAAUUCUUAAUGCAUUCCGAAGUGCUACUCACUAUGCUUG